UGUUCUGUGGUGUAACGGUAGCACAGCAGAUUCUGAUUCUGUUUGUCUGGGUUCGAAUCCUAGCAGAACAA
rnacentral:tRNA from 1 species